rnacentral:rRNA from 1 species
UACGGAGGAUGCGAGCGUUAUCCGGAUUUAUUGGGUUUAAAGGGUGCGUAGGCGGGUUAUCAAGUCAGCGGUAAAAUACGGGGGCUCAACCUCCGCCCGCCGUUGAAACUGAUGUUCUUGAGUGGGCGAGAAGUACGCGGAAUGCGUGGUGUAGCGGUGAAAUGCAUAGAUAUCACGCAGAACCCCGAUUGCGAAGGCAGCGUACCGGCGCCCAACUGACGCUGAAGCACGAAAGCGUGGGUAUCGAACAGG